rnacentral:rRNA from 1 species
UACGUAGGAGGCAAGCGUUAUCCGGAAUGACUGGGCGUAAAGGGUGCGUAGGCGGAUUUUUAAGUCAGCGGUAAAAUGUCCGGGCUCAACCCGGGCCGGCCGUUGAAACUGGGGAUCUUGAGUGGGCGAGAAGUAUGCGGAAUGCGUGGUGUAGCGGUGAAAUGCAUAGAUAUCACGCAGAACUCCGAUUGCGAAGGCAGCAUACCGGCGCCCGACUGACGCUGAGGCACGAAAGCGUGGGGAUCGAACAGG